GACGAACGCUGGCGGCGCGCCUAACACAUGCAAGUCGAACGGUGAAGAGGAGCUUGCUCCUCGGAACAGUGGCGGACGGGUGAGUAACACGUGAGUAACCUGGCUCUAAGAGGGGGACAACAGUUGGAAACGACUGCUAAUACCGCAUGACGUAUCGGGAUGGCAUCUUCCUGAUACCAAAGAUUUUAUCGCUUAGAGAUGGGCUCGCGUCUGAUUAGAUAGUUGGCGGGGUAACGGCCCACCAAGUCGACGAUCAGUAGCCGGACUGAGAGGUUGAACGGCCACAUUGGGACUGAGACACGGCCCAGACUCCUACGGGAGGCAGCAGUGGGGGAUAUUGGACAAUGGGGGCAACCCUGAUCCAGCGACGCCGCGUGAGGGAAGAAGGUUUUCGGAUUGUAAACCUCUGUUGACGGAGAAAAAAAUGAUGGUAUCCGUUUAGAAAGCCACGGCUAACUACGUG
rnacentral:rRNA from 1 species